rnacentral:snRNA from 1 species
GGAUGUGCAGGUGGAAUUGGCCGCGACUCCCAUCACUCCCAUUGAUCGCUAGCGCUAGGAUCGGCUGAUCUGGUUGGUUAGAUGGGGCGUCCCCCGUUCCCCGCACGGAUCCGCGUCCGGCCUCGCCGAUGCCCCGCGCUCGGAUCGACGGCCGAGAGGCUCACCGCACGCACCACGCUCACGGCUACGGCGCACGGGUUUAACCACGGAGCUGCGAGUACCCACUUAGACCAAACCCCGGAGACGGCGACGGCGAUAAGAGGGAAGCACGCUCUGCACCAUAUGUUGCACAUCCAACACGGCGCUGCACGUGGCAGUUUGCCUUGUU